GGCCGGGAGGCUGCAGCUUCCGGUUAGUGGCUGAGAGACUGCAGCGGACGGGAGUAACUGCCGCCCCUUCUCGGCUCCCUUUGGACUCUGACACCACCAUACCAAUGGAUGAGUCUCUGCAGUUUAACUCCUCCCUCUACAAAGUCCACCACGGCAUGGAUGACCUCAUUGCAGGUGGCCACAGUAUUCUGGAGAGACUGAGGGCCCAGAGGCUGACCUUGAAGGGGACUCAGAAAAAGAUCGUAGACAUUGCCAACAUGCUGGGCUUGUCCAACACGGUGAUGAGGCUCAUCGAGAAGCAGGCUUUCCAGGACAGCACUACAUAGAAUGAAUGUCUGAACUGCACAGACUUGGCUGCCCUCUCCCUGGGCACAUGAGGAUUCCACCAGACAGCACACCCUGGAAGAAUGUGUGCAAGGAGCAGCUACAUCAUCUGGACUGGAACUGUGGGAGGCAGAAACCUUCCUCCACCACCCAUCCUCCAUUGGCCGAUGGGACACUUCUGUGCCGCGUACACCAGUAUAUCCCAUAUUCGCCUUUAUAACGCUUGCUGGCCUUGAGGAACCAGAAGAAAGGCCCACCUCCGUGCUGGGUCUCCCUCCUUUGUAAUAAAAAUUGUGGAGGCGUUUGUGGGUCUUUACUACCUGGGGCAAGGGAAUGGCAAUCAGUGUGUCCAGAGAUGCAGGGGCACUGAGGCUGCAUGGCAUCAUGUGACUGUCUUUUCUUUCAAUUCCCCCCACCCCACCCCUCUUCCCCCGAAACUGGUUCCUUGGCCUAACUGGGUCCUCCUGUCUCCACAGCCCCAGAGUGCAGGGCGGGGUCCAGGGCCAGGGAAGGGCGCCCUCUAGUGGAGUCAGAAGGGAAUUCUUACGUCCAGUUGCAAGAAAACUCUUGAUAAACAGUCUCUGCGACCUUGUAGGACGUUUUGGUGCCCAUUGUGGUUUUAAGCAGGUGGGUUGUCAAGAGGAACUUGGGAAUAUUUUUAUUACACGCCAGUUUACUCCAGGUGUGACCACUUUAAGAAAAGCCAAAGUCAAAGACCAAGUAAAUCGAGUCUUGAUUUUAUGGAAGGCUUCCCUGCUGGGUUUUUUCUUAAUUGUAUGCCCUAAUGAAUUUAACUGGGUUUGAUUGGCAAAUUUGGAUUUACACCCGUUGUUUUUUAAACACAUCAGUUGAAUAAAGUUGAGAUUUAUUUUAUUUAGAAAAUUAAUACUUUGUAAAGGCACUUGACAUUCAUUGUUAUGAAUGCCCCUUGUUUUCUUUCCAGGCCAGAGAUUCUCACACUGCUGCAGGGCCAGGCUGGGUGGUUCACAAGUAGCUGGGGACCUUCGUUAUUACAGAUUCCUGGGGCCCUACCCCACACCUCCUGGAUUAGAAUGUCCAGAGGUGCCCUGUAAUGUGGGUGGUUUGGAUUUUUUGUUUUUUUAAGUCUCUAAGGUAUAUUUAAGGUGAUGUGUGUAUUUUGGAACCACUUUCUCCAAGACAAAUGGCUUUUGUCUUAAUCGAAGAUAAUAAAUAGCAUUUGAAAAGUAUAUUCUGAACUAGCUCAGCAGGUAUAUGUGAAGAACAAAACUUGUCAAGUCCAAAAUAAAGGCUUACUGUUUAUAUCCUGCCUUAUUCCAGAAAAGAUUUGAGGAGACUUACAGGAGAAAUCCACAGGUCCUUGGGUACUGCAAGCGGUUUGUGUUCGGCUUCUAACCAAAAGGUUGAAGAUUUGAACCCACCCAGUGGCGCUGCGGAAGAAAGGCCUAGUGAUCUGCUUCUGUAAAGAUUU